UUGAUUUAUAAUUCUGUUUUAGAUAGUCCCUAAAUGUUUUGGCCUAAAUUCCAGAUGCUAUCAAACUCUAUAAAUGCCAUUGGCAGGCUAUUUCAGCGCGUCCCCAAUGGCUCAGCGGCUCUUUGACUGACAGCUCGACAGGCUGCUUUUGGAGUGCUACCACAUGGACCGUGGGAGACGUAUUGAGUAGUCGGACUAACUUUUGGCACCCUGCAAUCCUCCCAUUUGAGAAGGAGCCCCUGUUCACACACUCCCUCCCUUCUGCCACACACACAGACUCAUAGACCCUCACGUAUGGCUCCACAUGGUCUCUGGGAGCGUGGCAGCGGUGUGCAGCGUCUCACACUCAAGGGGUGUGUCCCUCGGAAUGCCGGCAGAGCCAGGAGGCAGAGAGAGGGCUGCUGGGAAACAAUGGGCAAGACAUCUGUCAUGCAUGGCUGCACUCCCCUCCACUCACAAUGGAGCGAGGCGAGUGGCUAGUGGUGCUUUUCUUUUUUGGGCUUUCCUUUCCGGGGACAGCUCUGCACAGCACAAUGCUUCUUUUGUCCCCUCCCUGCUUUUGCCAACGUUUAACCCUUCAAACCUUU